AAUGAACGUUGGCGGCGUGGAUUAGGCAUGCAAGUCGCGCGGAAAGGCCCCGCAAGGGGUGCUCGAGCGGCGUAAGGGACAGUAAUGCGUAGAUACCUACCCUUCGGCCCGGGAUAGCUGCGGGAAACUGCAAUUAAUACCGGAUAACAUCGCAAGAUCAAAGGUGUGAUUCCACCGUUGGAUGGGUCUGCGUCCUAUUAGCUAGUUGGUGAGGUAAUGGCUCACCAAGGCCAAGAUGGGUAGCAGGUGUGAGAGCACGACCUGCGUCACUGGGACUGAGACACUGCCCAGACACCUACGGGUGGCUGCAGUCGAGAAUCUUCGGCAAUGGGCGCAAGCCUGACCGAGCGACGCCGCGUGCGGGAUGAAGGCCCUCGGGUUGUAAACCGCUGUCGUAGGGGAGGAAUGGCCGGAAGGUUCUCCUUUCGGUUUGACCUAUCCUAGGAGGAAGUCAGGGCUAAGCUCGUGCCAGCCGCCGCAGUAAUAC
rnacentral:rRNA from 1 species